GUGAGUUUUCCCGAGAAACAAAUAGGUUCUUCUGUGUUUGAUUUUCCGAUGCCUCGAGUGAAUCGAACAAGGAAAGACCAGUACAAAGCUGUGGUGGACGUUAUCCGCUGCAGGUGGAGGAAUUCUCAGAAGUUAAGUUGAAGUCAUAGCUAUCUGAUUCAUUGACCCAAAAAGAAACCCUUGUCAACUCUGAAGAUUCUGUAUGUAAUCUUCACAUAAUAAAGCAUAAGAAUUCAAGCAGUUUCUGCA